rfam:[Clostridium] acidurici 9a chromosome, complete genome.
UAUAAAAAAAGAAUAUAUCCGUAGAAAGUAGGGAACAAAAUAGUUUUAAAAAUCCUACCGAGGGUGACAUCAUAAAAGAUUGUUAGAGCCUUUGUAUAUCUAUGGAUAUAUGAAGGCUUUUAUAUAUUAUA